UUGCAGCUUCCUCACGAUCAUCAUCAAUGUUAAACUUCCCAUCCUCCUUGCCUAGCGCCAUAUUCUUCUUCAAGUCGAAUAUAAAUGGCAUGUAAUUGUAAUUUCGUUGUUCUCUUUCUUGCCCUUUCUCAAUCUUAAAUUUUGCCCUAAUGUUGUUAUCAGAUGAAGAUUAUACAACGAGUAGCAGAAGACCACACAAACAAUUCAUCCUCCUUUUUUCCCUUUCUCAAUCUUCGAGUUUCCCCUAAUAUUGUUAUCAGGUGAAGAUUAUACAACGACUCAACCAAUAGCAGAAGAGAACACAAACAGUGAUUUGUAAAUCAUUUCAUAUGAAAUUAGAGUUGUGCAAAGGUUUCCGUUUGGUUGCUGUGUGAAGACCUAAGAAUUCAGAGCUAUUGUUGAUGUCCAUUUCUGGUUUAAUUGCUUCUGGUUAUAUUUUCUCCUUCUAAUCUUGAUUGCUUCUUUAGUGAAUCAAUUUUACUUAGCUGCUAUUAUAGAUUUUGUUGUUCUUCUUCUAUCCCCCUUCUUUUUUCAAACAUAAUCAACACAUAUGCAACAAGAAUCUCGAAUCGAUGAAAUCCCUAUAUUCAUUUUAGACUAAUGCAUUUGUUAUGAAUGUUGCAGGAAUCCGGAUAUGUUACAAAAAGAAAGCUAUUACAAUUUUAUCAUCAGGUGUUCCAGUUUCAA